rnacentral:tRNA from 1 species
GCCGCCGUAGCUUAGACGGUAGAGCGCUGGACUGUUAAUCCAGUGGUCCCCGGUUCGAAUCCGGGCGGCGGCG